rnacentral:rRNA from 1 species
UACGAGGGGGCGAGCGUUGUUCGGAAUUAUUGGGCGUAAAGGGUGCGUAGGCGGUUCCGCAAGUCCUGUGUGAAAUCUUCGGGCUCAACUCGAAGUCUGCACGGGAAACUGCGGGGCUUGAGUGUGGGAGAGGUGAGUGGAAUUCCCGGUGUAGCGGUGAAAUGCGCAGAUAUCAGGAGGAACACCGAUGGCGAAGGCAGGUCUCUGGGCCGAUACUGACGCUGAGGAGCGAAAGCGUGGGGAGCGAACAGG